GACGAAGGUGGCGAGCGUUGUUCGGAAUCACUGGGCAUAAAGUGCACGUAGGCGGUGACGUAAGUCGGGUGUGAAAUCCCUCGGCCUAACCGAGGAACUGCGCCCGAUACUGCGUUGCUUGAGGACCAGAGGGGUGCAUGGAAUUUCCGGUGGAGCGGUGAAAUGCGUUGAUAUCGGAAGGAACUCCGGCGGCGAAAGCGAUGCACUGGCUGGUUUCUGACGCUGAGGUGCGAAAGCCAGGGGAGCAAACGGG
rnacentral:rRNA from 1 species